rnacentral:rRNA from 1 species
UUUAAAUGGCCGCAGUAUACUAACUGUGCAAAGGUAGCAUAAUCAUUAGUCUUUUAAUUGGAGGCUGGUAUGAAUGGUUGGACGAGAUAUUAACUGUUUCAUAAAAAUUUUUAUUAGAAUUUUAUUUUUUAGUUAAAAAGCUAAAAUUUAUUUAAAAGACGAGAAGACCCUAUAAAUCUUUAUAUUUACAUUAUUAUAAUUUUAUAGAUUAUUUUUGUUAUGAUAAUAAUAAUAUUUUAUUGGGGUGAUAUUAAAAUUUAAUAAACUUUUAAUUUUUAAAAUCAUUAAUUUAUGAGUAAUUGAUCCGUUAUUAACGAUUAAAAAAAUAAGUUACUUUAGGGAUAACAGCGUAAUUUUUUUGGAGAGUUCUUAUCGAUAAAAAAGAUUGCGACCUCGAUGUUGGAUUAAGAUAUAAUUUUAGGUGUAGUCGCUUAAAUUUUAAGUCUGUUCGACUUUUAA